GACGAACGCUGGCGGCGUGCCUAAUACAUGCAAGUCGAACGCAGUGGGGACGGGUGAGUAACACGUGGGUAACCUCCCAUCAGAGGGGAUAACACUUGGAAACAGGUGCUAAACCGAUACUGAUGGAUGGACCCGCGGUGCAUUAGCUGGUUGGGGAGGUAACGGCUCACCAAGGCCACGAUGGCUCGCCGACCUGGAAGAGGGAUCGGCCACACUGGGACUGAGACACGGCCCAGACUCCUAGGGGAGGAAGCAGUAGGAAAUCUUCGGCAAUGGAGGAAAGUCUGACGGAGCAAGGCGGGGGGAGUGAAGAGGGUUUGCGGAUCGUAAAACUCUGUUGUUAGAGAAGCGGUAUCUAACCAGAAAGCCACGGCUAACUACGUGCCAGCAGCCGCGGUAAUAC
rnacentral:rRNA from 1 species